rnacentral:rRNA from 1 species
ACGUGAUCUGAGUUCAGACCGGAGUAAUCCAGGUCAGUUUCUAUCUAUAACGGAGCUCUUUCUAGUACGAAAGGACCGAAAAAGCAUGGCCAAUACUGUAUGCAAGCCAUAAUUAUUAAUUUAUGACUUAAUCUCAAUAAAUAAAUAACCCACCUUUAAGCCCAAAAAAAGAGC